rnacentral:rRNA from 1 species
ACGCUAGCUAUAGGCUUAACACAUGCAAGUCGAGGGGAAACGGCAUUAUGUGCUUGCACAUUUUGGACGUCGACCGGCGCACGGGUGAGUAUCGCGUAUCCAACCUGCCCUCUACUUGGGGAUACCCCGUUGAAAGACGGCCUAAUACCCGAUGUAAUUCAUUGAUGGCAUCAGAUAUGAAUAAAAGAUUUAUCGGUAAAGGAUGGGGAUGCGUCUGAUUAGCUUGUUGGUGAGGUAACGGCUCACCAAGGCAACGAUCAGUAGGGGUUCUGAGAGGAAGGUCCCCCACAUUGGAACUGAGACACGGUCCAAACUCCUACGGGAGGCAGCAGUGAGGAAUAUUGGUCAAUGGGCGCAAGCCUGAACCAGCCAAGUAGCGUGCAGGAAGACGGCCCUAUGGGUUGUAAACUGCUUUUAUACGAGAAUAAUUUGAUGCACGUGUGCGUUAUUGCAUGUAUCGUAUGAAUAAGGACCGGCUAAUUCCGUGCUAGCAGCCGCGGUAAUACGGAAGGUCCAGGCGUUAUCCGGAUUUAUUGGGUUUAAAGGGAGUGUAGGCGGUUUGUUAAGCGUGUUGUGAAAUUUAGGUGCUCAACAUUUAACUUGCAGCGCGAACUGUCAGACUUGAGUACACGCAACGUAUGCGGAAUUCAUGGUGUAGCGGUGAAAUGCUUAGAUAUCAUGAAGAACUCCGAUUGCGAAGGCAGCAUACGGGAGUGUAACUGACGCUUAAGCUCGAAGGUGCGGGUAUCGAACAGGAUUAGAUACCCUGGUAGUCCGCACAGUAAACGAUGGAUGCCCGCUGUUAGCGCCUGGCGUUAGCGGCUAAGCGAAAGCAUUAAGCAUCCCACCUGGGGAGUACGCCGGCAACGGUGAAACUCAAAGGAAUUGACGGGGGCCCGCACAAGCGGA